rnacentral:rRNA from 1 species
UACGUAGGGGGCAAGCGUUGUCCGGAAUUAUUGGGCGUAAAGAGCGCGUAGGCGGUCCGGUAAGUCGGUUGUGAAAGUCGGGGGCUCAACCCUCGGAUGCCGAUCGAUACUGUCGGGCUAGAGUCCGGAAGAGGCGAGUGGAAUUCCUGGUGUAGCGGUGAAAUGCGCAGAUAUCAGGAAGAACACCCGUGGCUAAGGCGGCUCUCUAGUACGGUACUGACGCUGAGACGCGAAAGCGUGGGGAGCGAACAGG